GACCGCGUAGCUCAGUUGGCAGAGCAUUGGGCUAGUAUUCCAAAGGUCGUAGGUUCGAUUUCAACCGUGGUCA